rnacentral:rRNA from 1 species
AAUAUUGGACUAUGGGCGCAAGCCUGAUCCAGCCAUGCCGCGUGUGUGAAGAAGGCCUUAUGGUUGUAAAGCUCUGUAAGCUAGGAGGAGGCUACUUUAGAUAAUACCUAGAGAUAGUGGGCGUUACUCGCAGAAUAAGAACCUGCUAACUCUGUGCUAUCAGCCGCGGUAAGACAGAGGGUGCAAGCGUUAAUCGGAUUUACUUGGCGUAAAGCGCGCGGAGGCGGCUAAUGAAGUCAAAUGUGAAGUCCCCGAGCUUAACUUGGGAAUUGCAUUCGAUACUGGUUAGCUAGAGUGUGGGAGAGGAUGGUAGAAAUCCAGGUGUAGCGGUGAAAUGCGUAGAGAUCUGGAGGAAUACCGAUGGCGAAGGCAGCCAUCUGGCCUAACACUGACGCUGAGGUGCGAAAGCAUGGAGAGCAAACAGG